rnacentral:rRNA from 1 species
GAUCCUGGCUCAGGAUGAACGCUAGCUACAGGCUUAACACAUGCAAGUCGAGGGGCAGCAUCAUCAAAGCUUGCUUUGAUGGAUGGCGACCGGCGCACGGGUGAGUAACACGUAUCCAACCCUGCCGACAACACUGGGAUAGCCUUUACGAAAGAAAGAUUAAUACCGGAUGGCAUAAUUAUUCCGCAUGGGAUAAUUAUUAAAGAAUUUCGGUUGUCGAUGGGGAUGCGUUCCGA